CCUACGGGAGGCAGCAGUGGGGAAUAUUGGACAAUGGGCGAAAGCCUGAUCCAGCCAUGCCGCGUGUGUGAAGAAGGCCUUCGGGUUGUAAAGCACUUUCAGUGGGGAAGAAAGCCUUGGGGCUAAUACCCUCGAGGAAGGACAUCACCCACAGAAGAAGCACCGGCUAACUCCGUGCCAGCAGCCGCGGUAAUACGGAGGGUGCGAGCGUUAAUCGGAAUUACUGGGCGUAAAGCGCGCGUAGGCGGUCUGAUAAGCCGGUUGUGAAAGCCCCGGGCUCAACCUGGGAACGGCAUCCGGAACUGUCAGGCUAGAGUGCAGGAGAGGAAGGUAGAAUUCCCGGUGUAGCGGUGAAAUGCGUAGAGAUCGGGAGGAAUACCAGUGGCGAAGGCGGCCUUCUGGACUGACACUGACGCUGAGGUGCGAAAGCGUGGGUAACAAACAGGAUUAGAUACCCCAGUAGUC
rnacentral:rRNA from 1 species